AGUGAACGCUGGCGGUAUGCCUAACACAUGCAAGUCGAACGGCCGCACAGUAAGAGCUUGCUCUUACGGGUGGCGAGUGGCGGACGGGUGAGGAAUACAUCGGAAUCUACUUUUUCGUGGGGGAUAACGUAGGGAAACUUACGCUAAUACCGCAUACGACCUACCGGUGAAAGCAGGGGAUCUUCGGACCUUGCGCGAUUGAAUGAGCCGAUGUCGGAUUAGCUAGUUGGCGGGGUAAAGGCCCACCAAGGCGACGAUCCGUAGCUGGUCUGAGAGGAUGAUCAGCCACACUGGAACUGAGACACGGUCCAGACUCCUACGGGAGGCAGCAGUGGGGAAUAUUGGACAAUGGGCGCAAGCCUGAUCCAGCCAUACCGCGUGGGUGAAGAAGGCCUUCGGGUUGUAAAGCCCUUUUGUUGGGAAAGAAAAGCAGCAGGUUAAUACCCCGCUGUUCUGACGGUACCCAAAGAAUAAGCACCGGCUAACUUCGUG
rnacentral:rRNA from 1 species